GUGUCAGCAGCCGCGGUAAUACCAGCACCCCGAGUGGUCGGGACGAUUAUUGGGCCUAAAGCAUCCGUAGCCGGUCCUGCAAGUCUUCCGUUAAAUCCAGCUGCUCAACAGAUGGGCUGCGGGAGAUACUACAGGGCUAGGAGGCGGGAGAGGCAAGCGGUACUUUAUGGGUAGGGGUAAAAUCCGCUGAUCCAUAGAAGACCACCAGUGGCGAAGGCGGCUUGCCAGAACGCGCUCGACGGUGAGGGAUGAAAGCUGGGGGAGCAAACCGGAUUAGAUACCCGCGUAGUCC
rnacentral:rRNA from 1 species